GGGCCACAAUGCAGCACUGGUGAAGGCAAAGGGAACGUCAAGGGAACCCCUGGUUCCAGCCGACUGAGCUUAAUCCGCGCAGGAGGCUUGGUCCCGAACUACAUUCUGAGUUCAAAGGGAUCAGGAAAUGUAAUCAGAUUGUUAAUAUAAAUCAUUUUAAUAGAAGAGAGUGUUAUGCCUUCAUUUAAGAAAACAAAUCAACCCAGUUAGUGAGUGCGUGCGUCCUGGGCUCUCAAGGACAACGUCUAACUCAUCAGGAGCAGAAGCAAAACACAGUCCCUGCUCUCAGAUGCUUCCGUGAUUACUGCAAAGCUAAACUCACAUGGAUGAAAGCACUAGUAGCCGAAGGUACGAGCUGCAGGAUAGGAGAGCAAGCUGGAUGGGGAGCCAGGAGGGAGGAAGGCAAGUUUGGAUUUGGAGGUGAAGCUAGGGUGGGAGUUUCUACUCAAGGUAGCCAACAUUGAACAACAUCAGGGGAGUCUGACCCCAGUUCCUUAGACAAUAAUAAUAGUAACACUUCCUUUCAUUGGAGGAACAGCCUGGUACAUGCUGAGGACUCACUUGGUUUUCUCAAAAUCAUGAAACUAUUUUACAGGUCAUAAAACUAAGACCCCACGAGUUGAAUCCCUUGACAAAGGUCAAACAACCAGUGAACGGCAACAGCAGGAUUCGAACUCAGAUCUGUUGGAUCCUCUCUGUCGUGAUAGAGAACAAUGAGGCUCCUAUGCAGAAAAUUUCAGAGACCACAAAGAGAGGAAACUACGAGGCAAAGGUCAAGGGUCAAGUUUGAGGAUAAACUAAUUGACCCCAAGCAAGGGUGGAAGAGAAACCAGAAGGUGGCAGCUGUCCUGUAGCCCUCCAGUGUCUCGGCGUCAGGAGCUACAGUGAGCCAGAGAACAGUCCUUUCUUUGUCCUGACACGACCCACUGAGGUGGGAAGCACCCUGAGAGCCGCGCCGGAAGAAGGAAACCAUGCUACAGGCCAACCAAUAGUCAUGGUCAUGGUCAACGGAGUCAAAAGCUUUAUCUUGAGUUGGGCAGUUUUUUUCCUAAUGAGACUGGAAUGUGGCACUAACCUCCAAGAAGCAUGAUGUCAAAUAGGUCUCUUUGGAAGAGCUGGGCCAGGAUAUACCAUCACAACUCCAAGUGCAGUCAGUACAUACAUAGCUAGAACAACUGAGGGGUGUCUAUUCUGGAAAACCUUGAAGAGCACAACUAGAACAAAAGGAAUAUUGGGAACUUCUCACGCUAGUCAUCUAAAUCAUCUAAACUGAAUUUUCCAAACUGUGUUCAUAUCUUCCCUAACUUAAUAGGGUCCUGUGGGAUUUUUAUUGAGAAG
rnacentral:lncRNA from 1 species